UCCCUCACCCCUCCACCCCUACUUUCCUCUCCCCUACUUUCCUCUCCCCUACUUUCCUCUCCCCUACCCCCUUAUAGCUCUUCUGUCUCUCUCUGCGGCACUGUGGUGUGGUAGGUAGAUUAUAUCUCCUCUCUCUGCGACACUGUGGUGUGGUAAGUAGAUUAUGUCUCCUCUCUCUGCGGCACUGUGGUGUGGUAGGUAGAUUAUAUCUCCUCUCUCUGCGACACUGUGGUGUGGUAGGUCGAUUAUGUCUCCUCUCUCUGCGCCACUGUGGUGUGGUAGGUAGAUUAUGUCUCCUCUCUCUGCGCCACUGUGGUGUGGUAGGUAGAUUAUGUCUCCUCUCUCUGCGCCACUGUGGUGUGGUAGGUAGAUUAUGUCUCCUCUCUCUGCGCCACUGUGGUGUGGUAGGUAGAUUAUGUCUCCUCUCUCUGCGCCACUGUGGUGUGGUAGGUAGAUUAUGUCUCCUCUCUCUGCGCCACUGUGGUGUGGUAGGUAGAUUAUGUCUCCUCUCUCUGCGGCACUGUGGUGUGGUAGGUAGAUUAUGUCUCUCUCUGCGACACUGUGGUGUGGUAGGUAUAUUAUAUCUCUCUCUGCGCCACUGUGGUGUGGUAGGUAGAUUAUGUCUCUCUCUGCGCCACUGUGGUGUGGUAGGUAGAUUAUGUCUCUCUGCGCCACUGUGGUGUGGUAGGUAGAUUAUGUCUCUCUCUGCGCCACUGUGGUGUGGUAGGUAGAAUUUUGCUCUCUGGUUUGAUUGAUCAAGUAAAAGUAGUGCUUACAGAAUAAGGUGCAUAUUUUGUUUUUAAAUAGCUGGUAUCUAUUCAUGUUUAUUAGACAUUUCAAUCUUAUUACAAGUUACAUUGUUUUUGUUUUAUAUAUUUGUUUUCUGCAAUAACAACAACCGUUGUAGCUGCAUUUACUGCUGGUCCAGUUAGACUCCAUGUUAAUAUGUUGUAUUCUUCAGUUCUCUCUGGUAGCAACCAGCUAGCGACACAGAGGACAGCCUCCGGACAGGCCUUCUGUACUCUUCUAUAUGAUCAGUUUGGAUUCUAAUCUAUAACAAUAAUAUGUUUUCCGUAACGUUACCGUAAUCGUUCUAUAGCGUUAUUGAUAAUCCCUGGAUGCUACUGCAACAAACCAGCCGGCGAGAUCGACCCAGAGUCGACCUUUUAUCAUAACCUUCUUUGUCUUUCUGUCGACUAGUUUUUAUUUUAUUUGGUGUUUUCCAUGUCGUUGUUGUUUCUACUUCUCUGAUGAACAACUGUGGGUGUGUAGCGGUAUGCAUCUUAUGAGCACAAGAUGUUGAAAAUAAGUCUUUCAAACUAUUUUGCUCACUGGGUAGAUAGGCAGCUGCAGCUUGUGAAACGAACUUGUUUUACUAACUCCUGUACCAAGGCAGCAGACAUUCCUUCCUAUAGGGAACCUAGGACAGGUGUUGCAUUCAUAUCAGUAUUAGUAUAGCUACUAACUUAGUAACAGAAAGGUGAUGAUUUAGUGUUGCAACAUUCCGGAAACAUUCCCUGAAAAUUCCUUGAUUUUUUUUGCGGAAAAUCCUGGUUGGAAAAUCCACAAAUCUUCCAAACAACCAGAAUUGAUAGAAAACCUGAGAAUUUUGGGGGAUGUAACCGUAAGGUGCAAAUCUAGUGGUGAAGGUGACAGAACAUGGUUAAAGCUCCAGGGUUGAUGAAGCACUGUCUAUACAGCUCCUAUAUGCCCUUACAUUCCAUCAUCCCAAGUCAAAUCUAUAGUUCCUGUAACUACAUCCAAGGCUACACGUCCUACAUGGAACCCUAUUCCCAAUGUAAAGCUUCAUACUUUGUCUGGCCACAAUUAUUGCAUAAGGAUUAGGGAUGUCAUUAGGGACGGAGCCUAAACCAUAUUCUCUCAGAGACCGGAUCCAGCUGAACCUAAACCAUAUUUUCUCAGAGACCGGAUCCAGCUGAACCUAAACCAUAUUUUCUCAGAGACCGGAUCCAGCUGAACCUAAACCAUAUUCUCUCAGAGACCGGAUCCAGCUGAAUCUAAACCAUAUUCUCUCUGAGCCAGGAUCCAGUUGAACCUAAACCAUAUUCUCUCAGAGACCGAAUCCAGCUGAACCUACACCAUAUUCUCUCAGAGACCAGAUCCAGUUGAACCUAAACCAUAUUCUCCCAGAGACUGGAUCCAGCUGAACCUAAACCAUAUUCUCUCAGAGACUGGAUCCAGCUGAACCUAAACCAUAUUCUCUCUGAGCCAGGAUGCAGUUGAACCUAAACCAUAUUCUCUCAGAGACUGCAUCCAGCUGAACCUAAACCAUAUUCUCUGAGACCGGAUCCAGCUGAACCUAAACCAUAUUCUCUCAGAGACCGGAUCCAGCUGAACCUAAACCAUAUUCUCUCAGAGACCGGAUCCAGCUGAACCUAAACCAUAUUCUCUCAGAGACCGGAUCCAGCUGAACCUAAACCAUAUUCUCUCAGAGACCGGAUCCAGCUGAACCUAAACCAUAUUCUCUCAGAGACCGGAUCCAGCUGAACCUAAACCAUAUUCUCUCAGAGACCGGAUCCAGCUGAAUCUAAACCAUAUUCUCUCAGAGCUGAUCCAGCUGCUAGUCAGUUGAUGUUAUUAUUAUUGACUUUAAUCUGAGUUCAGAUUUAAACAAAAACUAAUGUGUAGUUCUUCAAAGAUGACUGGUUGAUUUCCACUUUGUACUUUCGGUAAAUGUUAUGAGAGAACUAAAAUGUUGAUAAUGUCCUUUUAAAAUAAUCAUUUAUAAUGUGCAUGAACAGAAAGGGAAGAGGCGUAGUGUCCAGAGGUCAUUUCAUUAUAAAAACGCGUCACUACCAUAGCACUACGGUCGCACAUUUCCGGUGACCUGGGAAUAAUUUUUUUGGAAAGCUACCAGAAUUUUUCAAAAAUUUUUGGAGGCUCUCACUCGUUCUGCUAUGGCAACACAAUGCCCUACACGCUGUAGGGAAAUCACUUAAUAAAAAAACUACUUUUUAUAUAUAGUUAAUUAUGAGACCAUCAUUACGCUGUGCGUAACGAUUGUACAGAGAAAUUUGUAGGUAUUUUUUGAGGAUCAAUUUGUUUAAUGACAUGUAGCUAUUUAAUUUCCCCCCCUUUUUUUUGUUUGUGUAUAAAAUAAAUGUUUUAAAAAGUUGAUCUUUUUUUAGUUUUUAGUGUUGUUUAGGUUAAAGUGCAGGAACACAGUAAUAAUAUAAACACCGCGUUGAUGACAGCCACUUGUGUAUUAUGACGCAUAAUGUGUAUAAUGCUGAAUCAAGGCUACUCAGCAGAUACUCUACAAAAUGUAUAUCCCAAAUGACAGUCUAUUCCCUUUAUAGUACACUACCAGAGGACAAAAGUAGUGCACUAAAUAGGGAAUAGGGGGUUCAUUCGGGACGAUGAUAUUUUUAUUUUGAGACAAUGGAAAAAAAUAUCUUUGUCGUCCAUCUUGUUUGUGAGAUCCGAACACUACUGUAUUAGUCAUGUUAUUGGUUAUUAGUUAUGUUAAUGGUAGAUCACAGGAAGACUGUGCUUCCAAAUCAACACUGUGUCCUAAGUAGCACCCUUCUCUCAAAAGUAGUGCACUAUACAGGGAAUAUACCGUUGAAGUCAAAAGUUUACGAACACCUUAGCCCAAUAUAUUUAAACUCAUUUUUUUCCACAAUUUCUGAAAUGUAAUCCUAGUAAAAAAUUCCCCUGUCUUAGGUCAGUUAAGUCUUAUGUCUUGAGAUGUUAAAUAUAUCCACAUAAUUUCCCCCCCUCAUGAUGCCAUCUAUUUUGUGAAGUGCACCAAUCCCCCCUGCAGCAAAGCACCCCCACAACAUGAUGCUGCCACCCCCGUGCUUCACGGUUGGGAUGGUGUUCUUCGGCUUGCAAGCCCUCCCCCUUUUUCCUCCAAACAUAACAAUGGUCAUUAUGGCCAAACAGUUCCAUUUGUUUCAUCAGACCAGGGGACAUUUCUCCAAAAAGUACCAUCUUUGUCCCCAUAUGUAGUUGCAAACUGUAGUCUGGCUUUUUUUUAUGGCGGUUUAGGAGCAGUGGCUUCUUCCUUGCUGAGUGGCCUUUCAGGUUAUGUCGAUAUAGGACUCGUUUUACUCUGGAUGUAGAUACUUUUGUACCUGUUUCCUCCAGCAACUUUACAAUGUCCUUUGCUGUUGUUCUGGGAUUGAUUUGCACUUUUCUCACCAAAGUACGUACAAACACAUUCUGAGGUCUUGGUUGAUUUCUUUAGAUUUUCCCAUGAUGUCAAGCAAAGAGGCCCUGAGUUUGAAGGUAGGCCUUGAAAUACAUCCUCAGGUACACCUCCAAUUGACUCCAAAUGAUGUCAAUUAGCCUAUCAGAAGCUUCUAAAGCCAUGACAUCAUUUUCUAGAAUGUUCCAAUCUGUUUAAAGGCACAGUCAACGUAGUGUAUGUAAACUUCUGACCCACUGGAAUUGUGAUACAGUGAAUUAUAAGUGAGAUAAUCUAAAACAGAUAGGUGGAAAAAUGACUUGUGUCAUGCACACACUAGAUGUCCUAACCAACUUGCCAAAACUAAUUUGUUAACAAGACAUUUGUGUAGUGGUUGAAAAAUGAGUUUGAAUGACUCCAACCUAAGUGUAUGUUAACUUCUGACUUCAACUGUAUUUCCUGACAAAGGUAAUGCAUUAUGGGAAUCGGGUCCCACUGACACACACAACUUUCAAGCUGCAUCAACAUUGUAAAACCUAGUACUAUGUAGUAGUACUGUAGUACAAUGUAGUAGUACUGUACUACUAUGUAUUGUACUCUCCAAACUGUACAAUCUUUAUUAAACCUUAAUUUUGUGGCCUUGUUUCUCCAAUUGAAAAAGUUUUUGUACUUAAGUCAAUGAACAAUAAAGUGCUCUUAAACGGC